GCUGCAGAGUUCCGGACCAACGGACAAAGUCUUUUUGAUUAAAACGCGAAGAGUGUGUUACAGUAAUCUAGAUGGGAGGAGAUAAAAGCAUAAAUAACUGUCACGGUCCGUGGUGAGCCUCCUGCAUGUAAUCUGUUUGCUCUGAGUAUUGUUGCAGGUGGGUGUGUCUGAGAGCCACCAGCUGCAGCUGAUCCCGUCAUCAAGGCCCAGGGGAUUUAAGGAGCAGUGUGACACUUCACCACGCCGGAUGAUUGCUCAGCUUUGGGUUUCACUCCACACUCCACCAUCUCAAUACCAGCUCGGAUUCCUGCACUUCAUCUCACGCUGUCUCCUCCCCUGGCCGCCCGCUCUCAGCCGCUCACCUGCACCCACCAAGCCUCCGCUCCUACCUCCUCUCAUAUUCGACAGUCCCUCCUCCUUCUGGAGCCUUCCUGCUCACCCGGACCUGACCUAGCCCUUCCAGAGGCUCUCACCACUAUCUACAUCAAAUCCUCUCCUGGAGCCUUGCUGCCAGCCUGCACGUCGCCUGUUCCCGUUCCUCUGAUUUAAUAAUAAAGAACGUUUUACUUA